rnacentral:tRNA from 1 species
UGGUAGCUCAGUUGGUAGAGCAAUUGACUCUUAAUCAAUGGGUCCAGGGUUCGAGUCCCUGC